AUUGAACGCUGGCGGCAGGCUUAACACAUGCAAGUCGAGCGGAGUGAUGGUGCUUGCACUAUCACUUAGCGGCGGACGGGUGAGUAAUGCUUAGGAAUCUGCCUAUUAGUGGGGGACAACAUCUCGAAAGGGAUGCUAAUACCGCAUACGUCCUACGGGAGAAAGCAGGGGAUCACUUGUGACCUUGCGCUAAUAGAUGAGCCUAAGUCGGAUUAGCUAGUUGGUGGGGUAAAGGCCUACCAAGGCGAGGAUCUGUUGCGGGUCUGAGAGGAUGAACCGCCAAACUGAGACAGAGACACGGCCCAGACUCCUCCGGGAGGAAGCAGUGGGGAAUAUUGGACAAUAGGGGGAACCCUGAUCCAGCCAUGCCGCGUGUGCGAAGCAGGCCUUAUGGUUGUAAAGCACUUUAAGCGAGGAGGAGGCUCUUUUGGUUAAUACCCAAGAUGAGUGGACGUUACUCGCAGAAUAAGCACCGGCUAACUCUGUGCCAGCCGCCGCAGUAA
rnacentral:rRNA from 1 species